ACCUCAUGGUGUAGUGGGGCAGUGCGUUUGGCUGUAAUCUAGAAGGCUGGUGGUUCUAGCCCACCCAGGGGUG